rnacentral:rRNA from 1 species
UACGUAGGGCGCAAGCGUUGUCCGGAAUUAUUGGGCGUAAAGAGCUCGUAGGUGGUUUGUCGCGUCUGCCGUGAAAACCCGAGGCUUAACCUCGUGGCUUGCGGUGGAUACGGGCAGACUAGAGGUAGGUAGGGGAGAAUGGAAUUCCCGGUGUAGCGGUGAAAUGCGCAGAUAUCGGGAGGAACACCGGUGGCGAAGGCGGUUCUCUGGGCCUUACCUGACGCUGAGGAGCGAAAGCGUGGGGGAGCGAACAGG